CCUUCGAUAGCUCAGUUGGAAGAGCGUGGGACUGUAAUGUGUUACAAAGCUUGUAAAAGCCUAUCCCGAGGCCGCUGGUUCGAUCCCGGCUCGAAGGA